GGCUCUAUUUUAAGGAGACGUUUAUUCCGCGGAACGAUCAUCGAGUGAACGAUACAGAGAGCCCGGGUAAUACGAAUUUUCGAUGAGCCGAGUAUUUCGUCUCGAAUGCUAACGAAAAAAAUUCGAUGAAAUUUUC